GCCAUAAACCUAACAAAUUGUGUGUAUUGUCUAACACGUAGAUUAUUUAGAAAGCUGUAAAAAUAGGCGUCGUAAUUUCGAUCAGUCAGCCGGAGAACGCACAAAACCAAUAACUUAUUUUUUAUUUACGAAAUCGUACACGUACACGUGUGUACACAAUAGGAAGAAAGCAGGAAAAAAAGAAUGAAGUGUUAUGUAAAGUAUCGCCAUGAUCACACACUGUGACUUCAAAAGAAGAAACUUGGUAGAUUAAAAAGAUUUUGAGACUUCUACGUUACAGUUUCUACUUUUCAGUAAUUUAGUUACUGUCACUGAUUUUCAAAAAGUAUCAAACAUUGAUUGUUGAAGAUUUGCCUACAAAUGUGGUCGAAAAGUGAUUGCAGACUUACUUCUGACCAAAUCGCGUGAAUCUAUGAGUUUGUCUAUAGGCGUUUUGUGAGAUGGUAUAAGGAAAAAAACAGUGAAACCUAUUCCGAGAACGUUUUGAUGGUGUAUUUUGUCGAUUUGGCAAAAACAAUGAAAUCAUCCACACUGUGGUCGCAAUAUUCCAUAGUAAAGGCGAGUUUUAAUAUAAAAAAAUGGCAUAGACAUAGAAAAAUUUUCAAAACUAAGAGCGUUUUUGAAGAAACAAGCGGAAGGUUACAAGUCAAAGAAAUCAAGUGUUUUAACAAAUGACCAAAUAGAAGAUUUUUUAAGCCAUGCUCCAGAUGAAAAAUAUUUAUUUACGAAAGUCGUUACAAUCUUCGGAGGGAGUGGCGCAGACCGUUGUCAAGAAUUGGUGGAAUUAAGAACAGACAAUAUUGAAAAUAUUAAAUCCGGUCUACUUGUAACGAUUCCUCAUACGAAAACUAAAAAGCCAAGAUCAUUUACCGUUCUGUGGAAAAAUAUUUUAAUAUUUACCAUAAAUACAGGGUUAUUCAGCUAAGAUGACCAAUUUGUGUUUUUAAAAUAGGCAACCCAUAAUACCGAUUCCACUUGAGCCUGUAUUACAAAAAAUGUUCCAAAAUUGAAUUGUAUCAAAGUUAAUGAUUAAAAGUAAAUGUUUCCUUG